AGUCACUGACAUUAGAUACCCGCGUAGUCCCAGCCCUAAACGAUGCGCGUUAGGUGUAUCGGUGACCACGAGUCACCGAGGUGCCGAAGGGAAACCGUGAAACGUGCUGCCUGGGAAGUACGGUCGCAAGGCUGAAACUUAAAGGAAUUGGCGGGGGAGCACAACAACGGGUGGAGCUUGCGGUUUAAUUGGAUUCAACGCCGGAAAUCUUACCGGGACCGACAGCAACAUGAAGGCCAAGCUGAAGACUUUGCCGGAUUAGCUG
rnacentral:rRNA from 1 species